GAUGAACGCUGGCGGCGUGCCUAAUACAUGCAGGUCGAGCGAACGGACGAGAAGCUUGCCUCUCUGAUGUUAGCGGCGGACGGGUGAGUAACACGUGGAGAACCUACCUAUAAGACUGGGAUAACUUCGGGAAACCGGAGCUAAUACCGGAUAAUCUUUUGAACCGCAUGGUUCAAAAGUUAAAGACGGUCUUGCUGCCACUGAUAGAUGGAUCCGCGCUGCAUUAGCUAGUUGGUAAGGUAACGGCUUACCAAGGCAACGAUGCAUAGCCGACCUGAGAGGGUGAUCGGCCACACUGGAACUGAGACACGGUCCAGACUCCUACGGGAGGCAGCAGUAGGGAAUCUUCCGCAAUGGGCGAAAGCCUGACGGAGCAACGCCGCGUGAGUGAUGAAGGUCUUCGGAUCGUAAAACUCUGUUAUUAGGGAAGAACAUAUGUGUAAGUAACUGUGCACAUCUUGACGGUACCUAAUCAGAAAGCCACGGCUAACUACGUG
rnacentral:rRNA from 1 species